CCCUUGGUGGUCCAGUGGUUGGGGCUCUGAACUUCCAAUGCAGGGGGUGCAGGUUCGAUCCCUGGUUGGGGAG
rnacentral:tRNA from 1 species